AUCAAGAUCAGGCCCGCGCCUGCGCCUGACAUGUUGGAAGACCCGUCCACGUAGAGGGUCCAAAAGCAACCAGAGGGAUCUGCUUCUUCUUUGGAGGAGUUCGGUCGGGACUCCAGGCCAUCAAUUUCACCUUGUUCAGGUUCGGCCUCCUCUGGGAUAGUACACUCCACUAUGAAAUCUGCCAAUAUCUGGACCUUCACU
rnacentral:lncRNA from 1 species